rnacentral:rRNA from 1 species
GACGAACGCUGGCGGCGUGCCUAAUACAUGCAAGUCGAACGCAGUGGGGACGGGUGAGUUACACGUGGGUCACCUCCCCUCAGAGGGGUUACCACAUGGAAACAGGUGCUAAACCGAUACUGAUGGCAGGACCCGCGGUGCAUUAUCUGGUUGGUGAGGUAACGGCUCACCAAGGCCACGAUGCAUAGCUGACCUGAGAGGGUGCUCAGCCACACUGGGACUGAGACACGGCCCAGACACCUACGGGAGGCAGCAGUAGGGAAUUUUCGGCAAUGGGCGAAAGUCUGACAGAGCGACGCCGCGUGAGUGAAGAAGGUUUUCGGAUCGUAAAACUCUGUUGUUAGAGAAGCGGUACCGAACCAAAAAGCCACGGCUAACGACGUGCCAGCAGCCGCGGUAAUUC